rnacentral:rRNA from 1 species
AUGCACGCUGGCGGCGUGCCUAAUACCUGCAAGUCGAGCGCACAGACGAGGAGCUUGCUCCUCUGACGUUAGCGGCGGACGGGUGAGUAACACGUGGAUAACCUACCUAUAAGACUGGGAUAACUUCGGGAAACCGGAGCUAAUACCGGAUAAUAUAUUGAACCGCAUGGUUCAAUAGUGAAAGACGGUUUUGCUGUCACUUAUAGAUGGAUCCGCGCCGCAUUAGCUAGUUAGUAAGGUAACGGCUUACCAAGGCGACGAUGCGUAGCCGACCUGAGAGGGUGAUCGGCCACACUGGAACUGAGACACGGUCCAGACUCCUACGGGAGGCAGCAGUAGGGAAUCUUCCGCAAUGGGCGAAAGCCUGACGGAGCAACGCCGCGUGAGUGAUGAAGGUCUUCGGAUCGUAAAACUCUGUUAUUAGGGAAGAACAAAUGUGUAAGUAACUAUGCACGUCUUGACGGUACCUAAUCAGAAAGCCACGGCUAACUACGUG